rnacentral:tRNA from 1 species
CAGGAGAUAGUUUAGUAAAAAUGCUAGUUUUGGGGAUUAGCGACGGGGGGUUAACCCCUUCUUUUGA